rnacentral:rRNA from 1 species
GUCGAACGAAGUAGCAAUACUUAGUGGCAGACGGGUGAGUAACAUGUAGGUAUCUUCCCUUUGGUGAGGAAUAACACGAGGAAACUUGUGCUAAUACCUCAUAAGUCUUUACGGAGAAAGCUUUAUGCGCCGAAGGAUGAGCCUGCACUUGAUUAGUUUGUUGGUGGGGUAAUGGCUUACCAAGACUUUGAUCAAUAGCUGAUCUGAGAGGAUGAUCAGCCACAUUGGGACUGAGACACGGCCCAAACUCCUACGGGAGGCAGCAGUAGGGAAUAUUGCACAAUGGAGGAAACUCUGAUGCAGCGAUGCCGCGUGAGUGAAGAAGGCCUUUGGGUUGUAAAGCUCUUUCGUCGGGGAAGAAAAUGACUGUACCCGAAUAAGAAGGUCCGGCUAACUUCGUGCCAGCAGCCGCGGUAAUACGAAGGGACCUAGCGUAGUUCGGAAUUACUGGGCUUAAAGAGUUCGUAGGUUGUUAAAAAAGUUGGUGGGUGAAAUCCCAGAGCUUAACUCUGGAACUGCCAUCAAAACUUUUUAGCUAGAGUA